GCCUGGCUAGCUCAGUCAUUAGAGCGUGGGACUCUUGAUCUCUGGUUGUGAGUUUGAGCCUCAUAUUGGGUA
rnacentral:tRNA from 1 species